GGCCCGGGCCCGGGCAGCAGCGCCGCAGUCACACACUCGCUGCACCAGUCAGGCCUUUACUGGAUACAGCUGCGCCUCGUCAAAAUACCCCGUGAGUAAUGACCGCUAGCACAUUCACACACGUGUUUACCGCAUUACCCCGGGACGCCCUGGAACGCAGGCAACGAGCUCAUUUAAAAAGAAAGGAUCGUAAUAGCCUGAAGAGAGUUAAACUGUGGAACUGACAGCAGCUAGAUGUCUACUGAAGUAACCAGCCAUCUGCAGGGACACAAGGCUUUGUCCAGCAUGGGUGUGCCUGCAUGACACUGGGCCACCUUUCCCCAGUUUGUCUCACCUAUUACAAUGCAGACAAGACAAGGAAAAUGAAGGCAGCAGCAUUAAAGGAAGAAAAGACAGAAACCCUUUUCAGACACUUUUAAAAACAAGACACAAACAUCCGGAACAUUUCCUUUGCAUCACUGCAAAAGUAACCCUAAAUGCCAAUUCUUCUUCAUUAAAACAGUGAAAAUACUUUUACAAAUUUAAACACACAGUCUCUGUUAAGAAAACUUCCACUGCAAUGGUGGAAUAUGCCUUUAGCUAUUUAAAAACCAAAACCACCC